ensembl:snRNA U6 U6 spliceosomal RNA
GUGCUCGCUUUGGCAGCACAUAUACUAAAAUUGGAACGAUACAGAGAAGAUUAGCAUGCCCCUGCGCA